rnacentral:rRNA from 1 species
UACGAGGGGGGCAAGCGUUGUUCGGAAUUAUUGGGCGUAAAGGGUGCGUAGGCGGUCUGAUAAGUCAUCUGUGAAAUCUAUGGGCUCAACCCAUAGUCUGCAGGCGAAACUGUCGGGCUUGAGUAUGGGAGAGGUGAGUGGAAUUUCCGGUGUAGCGGUGAAAUGCGUAGAUAUCGGAAGGAACACCUGUGGCGAAAGCGGCUCACUGGACCAUUACUGACGCUGAUGCACGAAAGCGUGGGGAGCGAACCGG